CGCCCAGGGUGGUGAGUUAUGUUGUAAGAGGGUUGUAAAACGAAAGUCCUUGUUUUUUCUUUAACUCACGUUCUGGUCUUUGAGUGUAGAAUGUGUCAACAGGGUCAGGAUUCAUUAACAUGGAACAGAUGGUUGAAUACCAUCCGCUCAUUGGUGUUACACUUGUUUGUUAGAUCGUUUUUUGAGGUCCGUCGUGAUUCAUGUCUGGUUCGUCCUGCUCUGCAUUCUUUCUGUUGGUCCUGUUCCAGUUGUAUGUUGUGGAUUACUUCGUCAUCGUUUGAACCUUUCAUCACUCUUCACCAACGCACUCAACUUACCACCUCACCCAUCCUGUGCUGUCAUCGAGGUCCAUGUGUCACCCACCGUCUACCAAAGCCUUUCUCAUUGUCUCGGGAAUAAUUACCACUACUUGCAUUAUUGCUUCCUGUCUUUUGUAUCCUGACAGAACGAUCUGACACCCUGAUGGAAUCAGCAAGUAACCCUUCGUCCUCAUUGGAUGAACUCCUCAGUGCCAGUGUUCAUAGGAUGGAUACACAAGAAAGGAGUCUUAACAACAUUGAUCGCCCUGUUCAGGCAUUGGUGGCGCAGGUGUUCGAGCUCACCCAGCAGUUACAACUCCUACGAGCUCCCACUGCUCCCCCCACGUCGCCCCUUCCCCCACACCACCAGAAAGCCAGAAUGUUUGCACACCUGCGACAAGGAGAGAGAUCAGUAUCAAACUUCUCAAUUGAGUUCCGAACCCUAGCGUUGGAGUAUAAAUGGAACAAGGAAAUGCAGUGGGACAUGUUCCUGCAGAGAGAGAUCUACACCGUGGAUCUUCCUAAUUCUCUCAAUGAACUUAUUGAGCUGGCACUAUGAGUUGAAGCACAAAUGUCCAGAGUAGAGCAACGGACCCUAACCAGUCAUACCCUGAGAGAUCCUACGGGCACACGAGCCAGCGGCGGGGACAUGGUCAGUCCCAUCUACGAUCACGAGCCCAUGCAGGUAGGCGAGCUCAGCUUUCCUGGGAGGAUAAGGAGAGGCAGAGAUACCAAGGCCUUUGCCUUUACUGCGGGGGAGCCGGUCAUCACGAUUACAUCUGUCCAGUAAAAGGUCAAGCCCGAUAGUAAGUAUGAGGCUACUAUCGGGUGGUAUCUCCACCAAUCUACACUCCUCCCGGUAAGACUGAGAUAGUCAGCACACACUCAUGACACUCAAGUACUUCUGGACUCCAGGGCUGAAGGUAAUUCAAUGGACUAUGCACUUGCAUGCCAACUUCAGAUUCCCCUCAAACCACUCACUCACAGGAUCGCUGUGAGUGCCCUCAAUGGACAAAGACUUCCAGUCACUUCACUCACCACUGAAGACAUCAACCUCAACACGUCUGGCAACCACUCUGAAACCAUCUCCUUUUACAUAUUGAACACUCUCCUUGCACCCAUAGUCCUUGGACACCCCACCUCUGUCACAACCCCAAAAUAGACUGGCAACUGUGAUCCGUCUCGGCCUGGAGCAGUAAGUGUCAUGAGGGUUGUCUCGUGUCUACCUGUCCUUCUGUUUCUGUGUUUCAGUGGGAAGCAGUGGAUUUGUCUAACGUGCCCCUGGAGUACCUUAAUCUGAAGGAAGUGUUCAGUAAGUCUUGUGCUGGUUCACUUCCUCCUCAUCGUCCCUAGGACUGUGCCAUAGAUUUACUAUCAGGUAAGUCUCCGCCUAAAGGCAAAUUAUAUUUGCUUUCUGUUCCGGAAAAGGAGACUAUGGAGAAAUAUAUUUCUGAUUCUCUAGCUUCGGGGUUCAUCCGCCCUUCCUCUUCUCCAGCGGGGACGGGGUUCUUUUUUGCGAGGAAGAAGGAUGGGUCUCUGCAACCUUGUAUCCAUUACCGGGGACUGAACAACAUCACGGUAAAGAAUACUUAUCCUUUGCCAUUGAUGUCUUCAGCCUUUGAGAGGUUGCAGGGAGCGUCGAUCUUCACGAAAUUGGACUUAAGUAAUGCUUAUCAUUUGGUCCGUAUUAGGGAGGGGAAUGAAUGGAAGACUGCUUUUAACAUCCCCAGGGACCACUUUGAAUAUUUGGUCAUGCCUUUCGGCUUCUUCAACUCCCCAGCAGUCUUCGAGGCUUUCAUCAACGACGUGCUGCGAGAUAUGGUCGAUCAGUUCAUAUUUGUCUACCUGGAUUAAAUUUUUUCCUCUUCUCUCCAGGAACACGUGCAUCACGUCCGACGAGUGCUUCAGAGGUUGCUAGAGAAUGGGCUUUUUGUCAAGGCGGAGAUAUGUGCUUUUCAUGCAAAGUCUCUUCCUUUUCUGGGGUACAUUGUGUUGACUGAGGGAAUACAUAUGGAUCCUGAGAAAGUUAAGGCUGUGGUAGAUUGGCCAGGUCCAGAUUCCCGUAAGGCCCUACAGAGGUUUCUGGGGUUCGCUAACUUUUACCGGCGUUUAUUCGCAACUUCAGCUAACUAGCCGCACCUCUGACUGUUUAGACCUCCCCCAGAACCACGUUCAGGUGGUCAGACACCGAGGCUUUGUGGUGGAGGUCGAUGUGUCUGAGGUGGGAGUAGGUUCAGUGCUAUCCCAAAGUUUUCCCACAGAUGACAAGAUGCACCCAUCCGCAUUUUUUCCCACCGGUUAUCCCCUGCCAAACGUAAUUAUGAUAUUGUUAACCGAGAGCUGUUGGCAGUCAAUAUGACAUUAAAGGAAUGGCACCACUGACUAGAAGGCCCGGGGGUUCCUGUUAUUGUAUCGAUAAACCAUAAGAAUCUAGAAUACAUUAGAACCGCCAAAAGGUUGAACUCCAGGUAGGUCGUUUUCGCGCAUUUUUGACCAUACCAAACGCCGGUCUUCUCCCGUCUGGAAUCCGAAGUCAUGGUCCCCACCUUUCACCUUUCGCCUUUAUCCAGAGGAGUCUCCGCAACCAUAACAUUGAUUGUUAAUGUGAUCAGUGGCAGCUGCAACUCAGAACACACUGCCUACUUAAUGCCCUGUCUUUCGUCUCUUGUUUGUCAGAUCGUUGUUUGAGGUCCAUCGUGAUUCAUGUCUGGUUCAUCCUGCUCUGCUAUGGGCUUGUUGCAGCAGUCUGUAAGGGAAAACAGCGAUGUGCUUGAUGUAGUGAUAACCAUGAAAGUGGAAAGUGUGAGCAAGGGGCACAUUUAAAGUGCUGUAACUGUGGAGGCGAGCACAGUACUGGCUUCGGGGGAUGUGAGGUACAUAGAAACGCUGUAAAAAUUCAGAACGUCAGAAUGCAAGAGAGAAUUUCCUAUGCAGAGGCUGUUAAAAAGGUCAAACAGACAGAAGUUGGGCAAGGAAAUUAAUCAUCAGUUCUAAUAAACAAGAAUAGUAGGCCAUCAUUGCAACACAAAUUAAAUGAAGACUUUCUAAAAAUGGGAAAAGUUGAGUUCAUGACUUUUCUAGCUGAGGUAAUAAACUGUGUUGCACAAACCGAAAGGAGAACUGAGAGAAUAAAGGAACAUUAUAUUAAAAUGUAAUAAAUAAAUAAUUAAGCUCAUAUAUAAAUAACUAUAAUAAAGGAAGAUAUGUUUUAGUGUGUCUUUUUUUUUUGAGAAUUUUUUUCUCCUUCCUCUCGUGAUAUUGCUUGGACCAUAAAUGCCCAAACCAGGACCCUUAGGCCAAAUCAAAGGUCUUUGGACCCUGGGCCCUGGUUUGGGCAUCCCUGGACUAGAGCAAUUUGUAAUUAAUUUUUUUUAAUAAAAGGUAUAUUUGUUCCGUAUAGUCCUGUUUUAUUCAGAAGAUGUAGGUCCUGCUCGGCAGACUCUCUGUGAUCUGGGAUCAGGUGGUUCUGGCCGUGAGUCAGGAGUAUGUGCCUCGAGGAGAGUAGCCCCUGAGCCUCAGAGACAGGGACGAGGUUGGCCAUUAUACCACCCCUCAGUGUAGGCUAAAGAAAUUACCAAGGUGGACAUCAAAUCUGAUACCUGUUUGUAUGUCUUUUUUACUGUAUAUUAUAAUAAUACAUUAUAAAUAUAUAACAAGUGUUUCAUACUAUAUUUUAUAUUUAUUAUUUAUACAAAUAUUUUAAAUACCAUGUUUUGUUUCUGUUCAGGUAUGGUUGCGGAUGGGGGUCAGGAUCUAAUUGCACUCACUACUGACAAUCUUUCUGCUGAUUGUGUUUCUGAAUCUGUUACGUGUCCCUCCUGUGGGGCUGUAUCUCUGUUUAUUGGUCAGUUUUUAUUGCACUAUAUUUUGUUGGAUCAUUGCUUCUGUGUAUAGUUGACUUUCUUACAGUUUCAAUGAGAGUUAAGUACUUGAAAGCCAUAUAGCACAUUUUCUGUUCUUUCCCAUUGUGUCUGCAGCAUGGUUCCUAUAACAGAAGCAAGUGUUAUAAUUGGGAUCUCAUCAACGCACAGAAGGGAUUCCUUGGAGGCAGUGAAGUACUGCAUCGACACACUCAAAGUUACUGUGCCAAUCUGGAAGAAGGAAAUAUACGAGUCUGGGGAGCUGUGCUGGAAAGAGAACAAGGAGUGUUUGUGGGGGAAACUGGGAAAGAUCCCAAACAAAGUUGAACUGUUAACGAGUAUAUAAGCUACAGUAAAUCUCAUGAAGCAUCAAGAGGUUUUUAUUGAAAAAAUACAAAGCUCAAAGUUUUCCUGUAACACCUGAUGAAACACAUUAAAAAAAUUUAAUCAAAAGAGCAUAUUCUACUUUUGUCUGGAAACAGACCGUUUUAAAGUACCAGUGCAAAAGCAUCAUGUAAACAUGAAGGGAAAUCUUUGUCGUUUAUGUUGCCUUUGAUUAGAUGGAUCUCUUCUCCAAAGGUUUCGUAAACACGUCUCAUAUCACAUCAGUAGUAGUUUUUAACCCUGAAUUCAUAUAGCAAUUUAUUGACAUCACUUUCAUAUAAAAUUCAUAUACAUGCAAAUAGGUUUAACAUUUCAGACUUUUUGACUGCAUUGUAUAAUGCUUACAUCAUUUGUUAAUGCACAGUCAAACAGUUUGAAAUGUCCUUUAACAUUCGUAUGUAUGUGAAUUACUGAUAAUAUAAAUAAAUGUUAACGUUUAUAAAUGACAAGUUAGUAAUAAGCAACAAUGCAAAAACACUUUUUUAAUUUAUAUUAUAUAUUACAAUAUAUAAAUCAUACAUUAUUUGUUAAUGUAAGAUUUAAUGUCAUAUUACUAACUUGAUUAAUUUGUGCAAAUGGUCACAAUAAUGUUUUUUUGUUUUUCACAUGAAGUAUCAGUCCAUUUCACUGAUGUGUUGCAUUGGCACUGAUUACUAUUUUUAGCAAAUUUAGAGAAACAAACUUGGCUGACACAGCCUACUUUACCAGUGUAUUGUUGCUUUGAUAUAAAACAUUAAUGUAUUGUGUUUUAUAUUUUGUUAUUGCUAGAUUGGUUUCACUAAUAUAAUUUGGGAAAAAUGCUUGGUUAAUUUUGGGAAAGAGUUUGGUAAUUUUAGUAAUCCGUUAUAUAACGUAAAUAAGUUUGUGACUCAAAGGUCUAUUUACACAUAUGCCACCAAUUUAUCUCUUUGUUUUUUUUUUUCUGAGUAUGCUAGGGUACAUGUACAUCUGUUGUUCUCUUGUUUACCUGACUGCUUCUAUUGUUCUGAUUUGUAAGUUGCUUUGGAUAAAAGUGUCUGCUAAAUGAUUAAAUGUAAAUGUACAUCUAA